rnacentral:lncRNA from 13 species
CCAUUGGACCGAGAAACUGUGAGUAUAUUCUCUCCAAAUAUGACAAAAAAACUAACUGCAUUGUAAGAUCCUUCUUGGUCCAGAAUUUUGAGGUCUGUACUUCUGAGAAAAGGUAUUUCCCCUCCAUACCCCAAAUCAACCUCUGUUGAUUGCAAUCCUAUGGUUAUUUUAGAAUUAAAUUUGGUGAGCUUUCUUUAAAAUAAGAGGCAAUUUAAACUUAUUUUUUAUCAUACAAAUAAUACAUGAUUAUAUUCCGUUUUUUUUUUUUUCCAGAGACAGGGUCUUACUUUGUUCCCCAGGCUGGAAUGCAGUGGCACAAUCACAGCUCACUGCAGCCUCCACCUCCCAGGCUCAAGAGAUCCCCCGCCUCAGCAUCCAAAGUCUCUGGAACCACAGAAUUCUCAGUGAAAAUUAUUUGACUGAAUUACAUAAGGAUUCAUUUGAAGGCCUGCUAUCCCUGCAGUAUUUGUAAGUUAGUUAGUUAAUCCUAUUUAUGAGUUUUAGUCAUAUUAUCUGUAAAAUGAGAUAAUCUCUAAGAUUUCUUCCAGGAAUAAAAUUCUUUAAUUCUGUAAGUUUAUAUAGGGU